rnacentral:rRNA from 1 species
GACGAACGCUGGCGGCGUGCUUAACACAUGCCAGUCGAACGGAAAGGCCCUGCUUGCAGGGUACUCGAGUGGCGAACGGGUGAGUAACACGUGGGUGAUCUGCCCUGCACUUCGGGAUAAGCCUGGGAAACUGGGUCUAAUACCGGAUAGGAGCCAUUUUUAGUGUGAUGGUUGGAAAGUUUUUUCGGUGUAGGAUGAGCUCGCGGCCUAUCGGCGUGUUGGUGGGGUAAUGGCCUACCAAGGCGGCGACGGGUAGCCGGCCUGAGAGGGUGGACGGCCACACUGGGACUGAGAGACGGCCCAGACUCCUACGGGAGGCAGAAGGGGGGAAUAUUGCACAAUGGGCGCAAGCCUGAUGCAGAGACGCCGCGGGGGGGAGGACGGCCUUCGGGCUGUAAACUCAUUUCGCUAGGGACGAAGCUUUUUGUGACGGUACCUAGAUAAGAAGCACCGGCUAACUACGUG